UAUCAGGUUUGUGUGCUGCAGCAUGCGAAACAGCGUUUCGAAAUAUUAGCUCCCUGGAUUCCGCACUUAAAAUUCUAAAAUCAAGAGGACCCCUUGCGUUCUGUACUGGGAUUCCUUCUUCUUUUGUCAUUUAUGCACCUAAUGUCAUGGUAACAUGGGCUGUUUUAGAAGAAAUCAGGAAACAAGAAAAGUCAAUAGGAGGAUAGCUAUUCUAGUCAAGUUCCUAAAAUGAUGAGAUCUGAAGUUGGUUUGGCCAUAUUGUAUCUGCAGAUACUGCUUCUUGAACGCAUUCAGAUUUGAAAACAGAUUGGAUUUUUGAAUAUUAUUGUAUUAAUUAGGUGGAAGCAUAACUUCUGUUAAAUUAAUGGUACUUCUACAUUAUAUAUGUAUGGCUAUAUAUAUCUUUUGAACAUGGACAA